CACCUGCAGCCAUUUCUUUCUGAUGCAGGACUCCAUGUUGGUUUGCCUAAUUAAUCAACAAUCAACAGAUCCUUCUAGAAAAGAAAGAGAAAAGAGACUGAACUUCCUUCGGUGAGACAGUCAUGAAAUAGUCUUCACUCCAUUUUCCCAGCCAAGAGAUGGAAAGAAGAUGUAAAAAGGUUGGCCACCUUUCCUCAUCCCUCAGCUCUGACUUGAUUUGUCUGCAGGACUCAGACACGGUAGGGGAGCCUACGGUAGUAAAUUCCCCCACGGAAUCCUGCCGUAUAUGGGGACUUUCUUUUCUUGCCCAUAAAAGGUAUGGAAAGCUCCCGUCAGUUUUAGCGGUUAUUGUACUGUCUCAGCGCCAGCCCCUCACUCAUGCACUGUGACAGAAAACAGUAAGAGAGGCACCAGGAAGAGAAAAUGUGUCAAAUUCCCCCAGCCUCCUAGAGAAGGAAGACUGUCACUAUUGAUAAUAGCAUGUUUUACAAUGUGAUUCAUUUGGGAAAAGUUUAAAAUGAAAAAACUCUGUGUCAGGACUAGGAAUACAAUGAUGCACACACUCCCAGCCUUCGUGGAGCUCACAGUUGGCUGAUGGAGAACAACAUUAAACAAGCAAUAACAGUAAAGUAAGGUCAGGAAAGAGCAGGAAAACACCCCCGAUGGUCCUGGCUCUCCUGCGGCAGUGAAGCGGGUAGGUGACAGGGGUGCCUUGAGGACUUUGUCAAUCCUCGUUUCUGCCAAAGCCCAGAUACCUCCAAGCCGCUGCUGGAGACAGAAUAGCAACACAUCUUGCUUCCGACUGCCUUCCAGCUCCAAAUCUUAAAAGACUCACAAUAUUGGCCUGUUCAGUGAUGUUGAGGGAAGACUGGCCAUAAAAAUUCAGAUCAUGUAAGCACUCACAUAUUUAAAAAGUACUUAUUGAACACCUAUCAUAUUUCAGACAUGCUAGAAGCGAGGAUUAAAAAAAAAAAACAAAUAAGAUUGGGCUCUUUUCUCAGAGAGUAAGCAUUGUCCAGUGUCUAAAUUCCCAGGGUCAGGUUAACUUUUUACAAGCAGUUAAUCUUGGGUAAAUUACUCACUUACGCUCUUUGAGCUUCAAUUAUCUCAUUCGUAAAAUGGAUAUAAUAAUAGAAUGUUCUAAUGGAUUUUGCAUGAUUAAGAUGCUUUGGGUUAUAAAUAAUUCAAUUUAAACAAUAAGGGAAAUAUAUCCCUUCACAUAAAAAGACGUCCUCAUACCCCUGGGUUGGUUAUCUCAGUAAUCAAUGACACGAUCAAAGACUCAAUUACCUUCCAUUUCUUGCUUCUGACAUUUUCUUUAUGUCUCCUUGUUCUCAGGCUAAUUCCUCUCUUAACUGCAAAAUGGUUGCCAAAGCUUCUGGCAUCCAGAAACUAUUGAGAAACACCUCCUCUUUCCUCCACUCAUUAGACUUCUCUUCCUAUCUCAUUGGCCAGAGUUUUAUUACAUGUCCAUGCUCAAACGAAUCGCUCGAAGAGAAAAGGGAUCAUAGUAAUUGGUUUAGACCAGUUGGGAUACAGCUUUCCUUGAGUUACUAGGUGGAAGAGUAGAGACCCAAACAAAAUUAGGGGUCUGCCAGCCAUGAAGGAAGGAAUGGUUGUUUGGUAGGCAAUGGGAGAAUCUCCUACAGGGCUCUCGUAAACCUGUAAUGAGAUGAUUUGUGCAAAGCUCUUGGAAUGGUACUGGGUGCAUAGUAAGCACUCCAAUCAAAGUUAGCUAGAAAUAUUUAUCAUGUACUUUACAAUUAAGUUAUAAAUCUAGGCAAGUCUUAAAAAAAAGUCAUAUUUUUCUUAUGGUGUCCAGUGUUAGACAAGGUAACCAUAGGAGCACAAGGGAGCCCCUAACCUGGUUUGGAGAGAGGCAUUGAAGGGUGAGGAGGGGUGGGAGAGUCCAUCAGGAAAGGCAGAAAGAGAUGGCCUUGAGUUGAAUCUUGAAAGACAUAUAGGAGUGAGCAGACUUAAAAAUGAAAAAAGAUGGAGUGGGCCUGGGGCAUGGGGCUAGAGACUUACCGGUCCUCCAUGCACUGGAAAGCGUCUGGGGAGGAGGAGAAGGGACUGGAAAGGAGGAGGCUGAGAAAACCUUUGCGACUAGGUGUGCCCAGAGUGCAGGGUGAUGUCAAAAUGUUAAAUGUCUUAAACAAACUGAUCUCGAGCACAUGUCAAAGUUUAUUAUCUUGCUAGCAAAGAAACCAGAAAGCUGAAAAAAGAGUGUGCUGGUUCAGAGAGGAGUUAUAUAGCCGGGGGAAAAAAAUCUUACAUAAGUUGCCAGUUUUUAAAAUGAGAAAGAUUGCAAGGUCAUUUCACAAGAUCAUAACAAUAUCAAGUGCAUAUUGGUUGUACCAAAGGGCAGUUGCAACAAAACAAUCUUAAGAUGUCAGGUAUGAUGACCGGCAGUCAAAAGAGAGAGAGAAAAAAAGACCUGGCACAUUUAAGAAGCAAAUGGUAAGUGUUCAUUUCUUUCUGCAUUUGGAAUAGUCAGCUUACAUCCCCAGCAUUAGCGUCUGAUGGGGCCAACCAACAGGUAAGCAGGAAACAGAAUCAGCUAUUCAGGGCCGUGAGCAGAAGCAUGGUGCGAAGGGAAGGUCAAAGUGGGACUUCAAGUUCUUAUUUUAAACAGUCAUCCCUGAUGACUUCAUUUGAGCUACAAAGAUGCAAAAACAGCUUGCCCACUGCUUAGUUUUGGAUAACACUUUUUCCCACUGGAAAUGAAAAGCGGUCUACUGCAAUGCUGGGAGAGCAGGCUCACUCUCUGGGAUCUGGUCCCCUUCUCCAGGGCCUGGGAAGACCUAUCAUAACACCCAGAAGGAAGACAAACUGAGACAAACAUGCCCAGUGGUGCAGUUCCUGUGUGCUUUUAAACACCUGCAUGAAGAAAUCUUGCGUGCUGUCUUCACUAGGAACCUGAAAUGACAGUUCUAUCUUAAAUGACCAGUUUUGUCAAGUCUAGACCAGGACUGUGGCCGGCCCCAUCCAGGAUCAGAGACUGCGGAUUCCUCACUAAUUUCCUGCAGUCCAGCCCCAUCCAAGGGCAGCAGGAACCAGAAAGCACCAGGAUGUGACAGCAUCUACCUGAGGUUCGGUUUGCUCCGGGCCAGAAAGGGCAGCUCCUUCUGAACGCUCUCCAAGGAGGCAUGACUUGCCAAGACAGAGUGUUCCAAUUCUGCUACACCCAGAAGACAUAAAACAACCAGUAUGUUUGAGGGAAGCAGCAAUCGAGGGUGGGAAAGUAAAUAAUUUUAUACUCCCUUGAUUGGGUGGAAGUUGAGAAAGAGGUGAGAAUGCCUGCCAGGCCUUCCGUGGAGCUGUGGGCCUCGGCCAGCCCUCUGUCCUCACCUCCACUGUGGGCCGGGCUUCAUCCCUCACAUUCUGGCACACAGUCAGCUGCCCCCCCAGGCUUCUGGAGGGCACCGUCCUCUGUGUAAAAGGCCUGCUGUGGUGCUGACCAGGGACUCGGACAAAGCCUGGGGAAGAACUCUUCCCUCUCAUCAUCCUACCCCCACCCCUUAAACCUGUAUCUUUUGACCAAAAGGUCAGAGUGAAAAUAAAGGUCAGAGUGAAAAUAAAGGUCAGAAGAAAGUAAACUGUGUGGCUGAGGAGUUAUUCCUGUCCUCUCCUGCCAUCCCUUUCUUACAUCUCACCCUUGGGCAGCAGCAUUCUCUUCCGGCAGCCCACACCUAGCAUGUUGUUUCUCUCCUCUGGGCCUCUGUCCGCGCUGAGUCCCUUCAGCCUGCGACAUUCUGUUGAACUGUUAUGAAAGCUAGAACAGGUGCUGCUCCCAGGCGCCAUAGCAUCCUGAGUUCCCUUCACAUGAAACACUUACCACUCUGUGCAGAAGGCACUGAUUAUCUGUCUCCUCCACCAUCCUGUGGUUUCUCAAGGGCAGGGACUGAGUCCUCCGCGUGCUUGUACUCCAGUACCCAGCAUAGUACCUGCACAGAGUAGGCCCUCAAAAACACUCUCCUUAGAGUAACUGGACAUCAGAGGAGGGAGCUGACUCAAGCUGCCAGGGUUGCCCCUAGGGCCCAGGCCCUGCCCACCUGGCUCCCCCUUCAUGCCUAGAGCUGGGCGGAGCAGAUCAGGGAGGAACCGGAGCCAAGUUCAGAAGGGCAGGCCUUUCCCUCCCCCUCAGCUGCUGAAUAGCAACGUAAAAAGAUUCUCUCUUUACACAAGUGCCGACUACAAAUGCUGGGCAAAGCUCUGCAUUCCUCCUAUUGUUGGGAUUUUCCUGUUUCUGCCCCUGAAGAUGCCACUUGGGAGAAGUAGGGCUCUUGAGCAGACGAAGUCCUGAACACAAAGGACUCCUUCCAGCCUUGGCUGCGGCUCUGCUCUGGGCGAUGUAUUUAUCUGAACUUCUUUAGCAAAUUACACCUUCCAG
ensembl:lncRNA